rnacentral:rRNA from 1 species
UGGUGGAGUGAUUUGUCUGGUUAAUUCCGAUAACGAACGAGACUCUGUCCUGCUAACUAGGUUGUGUUUUCUCGGGUUGGUGUUUCUGGUGUUCCUUCUCGGGGCGCCGGCCCAAUCCACUUGUGAACACAACACCUUCUU